GGCACUUUGGCGGAGUGGUUAACGCGCUGGCCUGCUAGUCGUUCAAGAGCGAAAGUUAGCCAGUUCCUUCGGGAGCGUGUGUUCGAAUCACACAGGUGUCG
rnacentral:tRNA from 1 species